CCCCGGGUGGCUCAGUCGGUUGAGCAUCUGACUCUUGAUUUCUGCCUGGGUCAUGAUCUCACAGUUCGUGGGUUCGAGCCCCACAUCGGGCU
rnacentral:tRNA from 1 species